UCUAAUCUUUAGAUAAUUAGCUUCAAAGAUUUUCCUCAAAAUGUUGUAAUAACUUCAUCUUUUAUGUGCAAAUUCAGAACUGUUCCUAUCUGGACAAUAAUAAUUCAGUAGUAGUUAGCAAUUGAAGGAAAGGAGUGUUUUGUCAGUAAUUUGAGUGGUUGGGUUUCAGCCAUGAAAAAUAACUGUUUAUUGUGAAACAUUUUUAGACUCUUUGUACAAGACUAAAGUUUGAGUAAAGAGCUCCAUAUAAGUAGGAAUGUGCCAUAUAAUUUCUCGAUGCCCAUACUAUGGAAGGAAAACUCCAGUCCCAGAUAGGAUAUAAAUGUCUUAAAUUAUAGAAAUUAUUGCUACCAAAUGAAAGCUUUCUAGUUAUCUCCUGUCUAUCUUUAAGAAGACAAAAUAAGAAAAAUAGCUUAUGAUUACAAGAAAGAUUUCACAGAGGUAUAAGUUCAGCCUCUACAAGGCAUUUUUUCUUAGGGGAGAAAUGAGGAACUAAAUAUGGCUCAAAAUUCUUUGACAUUCCUUCCCUUGAGAGGCAGAGUGUAAUUCCUUCCCGUUGAAUCUGCCCUGGCCUUAUGGACCAAAUAGAAUGUGGUAGAGGUGACACUUUGGAACUUCUGAGGCUAAGUCAUAAGAAACCUGCCUGCUUCUGCUUGGGUCUCUGAGAACAGUCAUUUUUGGAGCUUGAGUUUUCAAAAGCCUGGUUCUCCCAACAGCAACAUGCUGUGAAGAAGCCCAAGCUAGCCAUGGAGAGAAAUUGUGUGGAGAGAUGCCACACUGUGAGAAAGAAGCCUUCAGAUGAUCCUCCCUGAUAUGGUCUGGCUCUGUGUGUCCCCACACAAAUCUCAUCUCGAAUCUCAUCUCAAAUCGUAAUCCACAUAAUCCCCGUGUGUCAAGGGAGGGAUCUGGUGGGAGGUGAUUGGAUCAUGGUGAAGGUUUCCCCCAUGCUGUUCUCGUGAUAGUGGGUGAGUUCUCACGAGAUAUGAUGGUUUUAUAAGUGUUUGACAGUUCCUCCUUCACAUGUUCUCUCUCACCUGCCACCAUGUAAGACAUGCCUGCUUUCCCUUUCACCAUAUUGUAAGUUUCCUGAGGCUUCCCCAGCCAUGCAGAACUGUGAGUGAGUGAGUACAUUAAACCUCUUUCCUUUAUAAAUUUACCAGACUUGGGUAUUUCUUUAGAGCAGUGUGAAAAUGGACUGAUGCCCUCCCCCAGUCACAUCUACCUACAACUGUAUGGGACCCAAGUGAGAAUCACCUAAUUGAGCUGGUCAGAGCUGAGAGAUAACAGCUAAUUGAUGGCUCAUACCACCAAAUUUUGUGGUGAUUAGUUAUACAAUGAUAGAUAACUGGAAUAGUAGGUACUUAAAAAACUUGGGAAAAUUCUCUUGGGAGUGGCAUUGUAAAAUAUUAUUAUCUGGGGAUUAUGAAUAUGAGAAACAAUAUCUGACUCAAAUAGUUAUCAUAAUUUUUCUUAUCUGGGGUCACUUGGAUAUAGUGCUCUUGACCUAAGGUGACAGCCAGCCCUCAUUCCUGCUCUUCUGUGCUAUUUUUCUCCAGCUGACUGAGUUCCUCUCCUCCAUUCUCAGAUCAUUAAUUUGUUAUGUUUAUUUUGAUUUUAUGAGAACUAUUUCUGAAAAAAGUGUACUACAGACUUAUUCAUAUUAAGUCAAAUGUUUGCUUGGGCUUAUUGCUUUGAUCUCUAUUCAUCUGUUGUGUCGCUAGGAAAAUUUUUAUUUGUUGUCUGCCAGGUGCUAAUCACAUGUGAAUCACUAUCAGAAUACAACAAUACACAAGGCAGUCAGAGUUUCUGCCAGUCUUAUAGGGACUUGCAGUCUAGAAGGGAU
rnacentral:lncRNA from 10 species